GCCGGGAUGGCGGAAUUGGUAGACGCGCACGAUUCAGGGUCGUGUACCCCUACGGGUGUGCAGGUUCAAGUCCUGUUCCCGGCACCA
rnacentral:tRNA from 2 species